UACUUCCUUCUCCCAAACGAGCCCGGUUCCUAAAACUCCCGAAGAACGACCCUGUCCGGACAAUUUCAGCACGAGAGUCGGGUUUGGGCUCGGGCCGCGGAGACCCGCUCAGGAGGGAGUGUGCGGAGCCCCGGCGGGAUUUAAUUCCGGGUCAUUUCGCACCCACACCGGAGGCCCCGGGACAGGGCGUCCCCAAGACGCCCGGCCGGCGCUCGCAGCUUGCGCCCUCUGUCCGGUUCAAAUCCCCCAGCCGCGACCCCAGGACAGGCCUACGAGAAUACUACUCACGUGUCCUCCAAGUGCUGCUCUAAAGUUGCCUCCAUGCCGCCGUGAGUCGCCUUCUUCUUCGCCGCUGGUCUCGGGUGCCCCUCGGUCGUUCACAUGACGCGAGAGGGCCGUGGGCAGGAACGGUGCCUCCAAAGGGACAAAAUUCGUGGCGCAGCCUUCGCGUUGUGUCCAGGAUGACAUCUUUACGCGCCCGCCACCGCGAGCCGGGCGGAGGUUCUGCUGCCUGUGCAACAGGCGAGGGGACGGCGCGGAAUGCCGCCGUGGGAGGGAGGCCUGCGGUCGUCCCUCGGAGCCGGCCUCCUGGCCUGUCCCUCUGUCUCCUCCAUACAGACCUUUGGAUUACAAUUCCACCGACUCCAAGAAGUCGGGCCAGACCCUGUUGAAGUUUUACAACAACCCGGGCGGCCCGACGGGGUCUCAUCCAGGCGGUGGGGCAGAGAGAGACAAGAGAGACACAGGACCCCGGUGAAAGGCUUACAGGGGAAAAGACUGGACACAGGGACUAGAGGACGAGAUGGAACAAUGCUAAUAGCGUCUACGAACUUGGUGAAGUGUUACUGGUCCUUACUUCAGAGUAGAGAAUGUCGUGAAGACAAGAUGACCCAUCUAGUUCUGCACACCCUGCCGUGAAGAGCGGAGCGAGAAGAUUUUUUGUCGGCUGCCACCGUCUCUCAUGGAAUCUGAAUUUAGCUUCGGGAGCUUACCUAUUGUUACCACACUGAAUUACCCUCUUGUAAGACCUUGGACAAGUCCUCUAAUGCCUUGAUGUCUCAGAUUUUUUUCAAUUCUCCCUGAAGAUAAGAAUAGUAUCCACCUCAUAGCAGUGGUGAGGGAACUCCAUGGGACGAUGCAUGUGAAGCCCCUCACACAGUCUCUGGGGCCACCGCAGACAGUGAACAGGUGAGAGCUGCUAUCGUUGCCAGGACCUCAGGAGAUGAUAGCUGAGGCAAAGUUGAACUAGACUGUCAUUCAGGGCUCUUAGUUGCAAGCAACAGAAGCUGACUUUGGCUUAUAGAGUAGGAAAGGAAAUUUUAAAAUGACACUGGUAGCUCAGGGUUACCCAAUUGUUGGGAGGGCUGGAGAGCUCAGUCUAAGCUUCCAGUGACAAAGCUCCAAGCCCACCACGCCACCCCUGCCACUGGUCUUGUGGCAGCCCACAACAGCUUGCGGUACCAAGGCCGUUACUGUGGCAGGAACCUAACCUUAUGCUUGCUAUGCCCCGAAGCCAGACCCCCUCUGCUGCUGCCCUUGCCAGCAAAGUGGAAUUUUCCCAGAGCCUCUGAAUUGAAGUCUUGUGUGGGUAAGUUUAAGCAAUGCAGCCUGAAUCACAUCCCUGGCUUUAGUUGCAAAGGAGGCUGAAGAGGAAAUGUCUGCUUUCUAUAUCUGUUCUGCAGGUGCCUGAGCAAAGCAAAGGUAUUCACCUGGGGCCGGGCAGCAAGAAAGCAUUUCAAGUGUCUCCUACGAGGAGGGGGCUUCCUUCUUUGCGUGAGGGAGAGCUCUUAGGACAGGAGGACUCCCGGUGAUUUAUUAAGAAGGUGAAAUUAUGUGCCCGGUUGGGAACUCUGGGGAGCUCUUGCUGAAAUUGAGCGUUUUGGAGCCGGAUUUACAAGGCAGAAUGGACCUGGGACUGCUCCUUGUGGCAGAAGCUGCUGAGCCACUGUGGAUGAUCUUUCCCACAUUGCACGAUGUCCCCAGAGCCCUUGGAGCCAUGCUCAGCCCCAUCCUGGUAUCCCCUGUGUCCCUCGUGCCUCUGCCAUGGAGGUCCAACCACUUUACUUGGCUGUGGGUCUCAUCAACUUGCAGGUGAAUCCAUCUAUCCCCCCUCCCAGCCUGGCUUGGCCCCUUACUCAUAAGCACUUACACAGUAUUUCACAAAGAAAAUGUCUGCUGGCUGUGUCCUAGACUCUUGAAUGUUAGCUCACAUUAGUCAUGGCCAUAGAUGCGGCUGGAAUCUUGCUGACCAGGUCCCCAAGGUCUCUGCUGGUCUGUACUCCCCAUGCUUGGGUUGGAGGCACUGCGGAGGGUUUGGAUGGUGAGUGUGGGCACCUCCCAGCUGCACCAUUUCCUGGCAUCCACCAGGCUGCCUCACGUCCACUCUAGACCCUCGGUCUCAGCAGGGGAAACCAAAAAUCUCUCCCUAGCACCACAAUCAUCUUUUGCUGGCUGCUAAGCACCCUUGCUCUGAAAACAAUAACCAACCACCAUAAAAACAGUAGGUCUGCCUUCUCUGUCUAAGCACGUACUGUGUACGUGCUUUAGGGAGAGCACCAGAGGCCAGGGAGGAUAAUUUGUCCAAGGACACCAGCUAAGAUGGGACAGAAUGAGGAUUAUUAUUAGUUCUAAAUAAUGCCAAUACUCAUGUUCUUUUUUAUUAUUCCCUUUCCCACUCUUUUCUAAUUAUUCUAAAGUAACAUUUACUUCAUUUUCUAUUACCGAAAGAACGUGUGCGCAAAUAGAAAACAGAAAAUGUAGAAACGUAUGAAGACAAAAGAACCACCAAGACAAAUAAACCAAACCCAGGGUCAUUAGCAGUUCCUCCUUGCCAAGAUAAAAUGUGAACAUUUUAGUUCUUCUCUUUUCCAUCUUGUUCUUUGUGUGUGUCCAUGCCUUCACACACACACACACACACACACACACACACGUGUAAAAUGGGGAUUACAUUGUAGAUUCUUUUUUGUUUCCAGCUUUUUCCACUUAGCCAUAUAAUGUUAACAUUUCCCCACAUCAAUAAAGGAGCUUCAGUCCUGGGCUCAUUAACUCAUCCAAGGCAUGUUCUGCCCAACUUUGUUUUCUUCUGUGUCCAGCCAUAUGCCUCCUCUCUGGGCUGCACCCCAGGGGGACACAGAGCCUUUUCCAGCAGACUGAGCUUGUUGGUACUGAGGGGCUUGCUUUGCAAGUGACACAUACUCCUUUUGUCUGUAAAUCUAUCGAACUGUAUGCAGGAUGGGCCUGUCAUCUUGUUCAAAUCCUAUGAGAGAGAGAGAGAGAGAGAGAGAGAGAGAGCGCCUUUUCCACAAGGACGCUCCAAGGCUGUGUGCACACCCCUCUGUCCAUGCUGGAUUUGGAACCGGAACAGCAAGGGCAGAGAAUGGGGCUCAGCCCUGUUAGGACGGCUGACCCCCUUCCAGCCACUCCAGUCCUGUUUCCUAAAGGGAAUUAAUUGUUGGCCUCGGGGAAAGAAUUCUCAAAGGACUGUUGCAUGGAUGGUAGGAACUGUUGACCUUGAGACCUGUACAUGCUAGGUCUUAUUUUCAGCUGAAAUGAACCACUAACUGAGGGAAGAGUAUUUCACUUUGUGGUGAAUCCUCUGAGCCUACGGGAAUCAUCUUGGCCCAUGUUUAUGUGUCACCUGGCCUCCUCCCAGGGUGGCCACCCAGGGGGGCCACGUCCUUAGAAAGGAUUGGCAGUCCAGGAGGCAAGGUUCCUGGGCAGACUUUCCAAGGUUCAGCCCUGACCUCUUUGCCAAAAGGUGUUUUUGUUUGUUUGUUUGUUUGCGGUACGUGGGCCUCUCACUGUUGUGGCCUCUCCUGUUGCGGAGCACAGGCUCCGGACGCGCAGGCUCAGCGGCCAUGGCUCACGGGCCCAGCCGCUCCGCGGCAUGUGGGAUCUUCCCGGACCGGGGCACGAACCCGCAUCCCCUGCAUCAGCAGGUGGACUCUCAACCACUGCGCCACCAGGGAAGCCCUGUUUGUUUGUUUUAAGCAGUUUAUUUCAUGAACCACUAGAGCUGGGGAAAACGUUGAUGAGUCAUAACCCCAUUCCCAGCACCAACAAUCUAUAGCUCUCAAGGGAAGAACUGUAAUUCCAACUCGUUGACCUGAACCAGGAGGCUAAAUGCACUGCUAGAAUUCAUUUCUGUGAGUAGAGACAAAAACAUAACUGGGGCCUCCUACUAGGAGUUGAAACUCCCUUGAUCCUGAGCCUUCGGCUGUUGUCUCACUGAUAUUUUCAAGGAUAAAUCCAGUAUAAAUGGAUUAUUUCUGAACAGAGUCCCGUGAUUAGAAAAUACAUGGCACGUGUGCCAACAGUUUCCCAUCCUGUACGCAUGACAGACAUCACCAUUCAGUGCUGGCGCUCCCUCCCACGGAGCCCAGAGAUGACUUCAGACCCGGUCUCAACACUCCUCUAGGCAGCCAUUAUAAUCAAUCAGCAUUGGAGUAUGGAAUGAAAUCAUUUGACUUUCCUGAAUUAGUUUAUAAUCAUAGGCAGGAUUUCCUUUUUUGUUUGUCUGUUUGUUUUUCCCAAUAAGAAUGAGGGCAGAGUAUGGAGGUUCCUUAAAAAACUAAAAAUAGAUUUGCCAUAUGAUACAGCAAUCCCACUCCUGGGUAUGUAUCCGGAGAAAAGUCUAAUUCAAAAAGGUACAUGUACCCCAAUGUUCAUAACAGCACUAUUUACAAUAGCCAGGACAUGGAAGCAACCUAAAUGUCCAUCAACAGAUGAAUGGAUAAAGAAGAUGUUAGAUAUGUAUACAAUGGACUAUUAGCCAUUAAAAAAAGAAUGAAAAAAUGCCAUUUGAGGUGACAUGAAUGGACCUAGAGAUGAUCAUGCUAAGUGAAGAAAAUCAGAGAAAGACAAAUAUCACAUGAUAUCACUUAUAUGUGGAAUCUAAAAUAUGAUACAAAUGAACUUACAAAACAGAAACAGAUGCACAGACAUAGAAAACAAAUUUAUAGUUAUCAAAGGGGAAAGAGUGGGGAGGGAUAAAUUAGGAGUUUGGGAUUAAGAGAUACACACUACUAUAAACAACAGGGUCCUACUGUAUAGCACAGGGAAUUAUAUUCACUAUCUGUAGUAAAGAACAUAAUGGAAAAGGCUAUGAAAAAGAAUAUGUAUACACCUUGCUGUACAUCAGAAACUAACCCAGAGAGGUGGAGGGAGAUGGAGGAAGUUGGGUUAAGGAGAGCCACGCGUCUUUUUCUGCUCUUACCAUUUUCUGAUUUAAGACUUGAUAUGACUCUUCUCACGUUGCCACAGGCAGCCUCUGUUCCUGCCUGUUCCUCAAGCAGCCCUAGGACUUCUUCCAUCUCUAGGCAGGGCGGCUUGAAGCGGGGCUGGGGUUUCCUUCCUCCUGAGGGUAGGCAAGGGGCAGAGCUCUGUCCCUGGUGAUUUGCAGCUGGCCCAUGCCCUCGGGUCGAGUAGUGACCCCCGGCUGGCUGUGCUUCCCAAGACCCCCUACUUUAAAUGAUUCAAAUGUGCCACUCCAUACCCUGCUGAUCUCAAGAUGUUCUCAAGAAAAGUUAUGUUCAUUUGCUAACUCUUAUUAUUAUUAUUAAUUGUUUGCGGUACGCGGGCCUCUCACUGUUGUGGCCUCUCCCACUGCAGAGCACAGGCUCUGGACGCGCAGGCUCAGCGGCCAUGGCUCAUGGGCCCAGCCGCUCCGUGGCAUGUGGGAUCUUCCCGGACCGGGGCAUGAACCCGUGUCCCUUGCAUCGGCAGGCGGACUCUCAACCACUGCGCCACCAGGGAAGCCCCAGUCGGUAACUCUUACAUGAGAAAAAAAAAUAGAGGAAAGUAGAAAAUGUCCCUCGGCUGAAGAGGGUCCCCAAUAUGCCACCAAGAGAAUUAUUUGUUUUUAAUUUAACUGCUUUUAUUUAAUGCAAUAUUUCAACAUGGGUUGAAGAAUAAUAUGAAAACAAUCACCCACAUACUCUCUGCGGCUUCAGAAAUUGAAGGAUUAUUCUUUCAUGAGAAGAAGAGAGUCAUGCAGGGCCUGCACUGGGCCAGGGCCCCCCGGGGCUCUCCAGGAGGAGGCAGCUGACUUAUUUCAGUGGGAAAUUGGCCAGCUCAGAUUUAUGACCCAAUGUAGAGCAGCUUCCAUUUAUUGUAUUGUUCAGUCAGCACCGGCUGGAAAUGAUACCUGCUUCCUUUCUGUGAGCCUCUGUGUCCUCACGGGCUGCGCGGGCAGGUGGCUCCUGCAGCUGUCUGCUCUGAUGCUCCAUCAUCGCCGUGUUCGGACCACCCUGAGUUUUUACUUUCCAUGUGUUUCCAUGGCUCAUCCUGUGUGAGGGACUGUGGAGCUCACUCUUUUCCGGGGACUGGGAAACAACCAUUUGCUUCCUCACGGCAACUCACAGACCACAGCCUUUUGGAUUUUUAAUGGCAGAGCCCAGAGCGGGCAGGAGGGCUGUGUUGGGUCUUGCGCUUAUAUUAGCUCUUCCAGGUGGAUGGGUUCCUAGUAGGAGAAGACGAACUGUUUCAUUUUUUCUUUCUCGUGUUU